rnacentral:tRNA from 1 species
AGAAGUAUAUCUUAAAGGUAAAGUUUUGGUCUCCAAAACCAAAAAUAAAGGUUCAAUUCCUUUUACUUCUG